UACGUAGGGGGCAAGCGUUGUCCGGAAUUAUUGGGCGUAAAGAGCGCGUAGGCGGUCCGAUAAGUCGGCUGUGAAAUCUCAGGGCUCAACCCUGAAAUUGCUUUCGAUACUGGUGGACUUGAGGCAGGUAGGGGAAGGUGGAAUUCCUGGUGUAGCGGUGAAAUGCGCAGAUAUCAGGAGGAACACCAGUGGCGAAGGCGGCCUUCUGGGCCUGUUCUGACGCUGAGGAGCGAAAGCGUGGGGAGCGAACAGG
rnacentral:rRNA from 1 species